rnacentral:rRNA from 1 species
UACGUAGGGAGCAAGCGUUGUUCGGAUUUACUGGGCGUAAAGGGCGCGUAGGCGGCGCGACAAGUCACUUGUGAAAUCUCCGGGCUUAACUCGGAACGGUCAAGUGAAACUGUCAUGCUAGAGUGCAGAAGGGGCAAUCGGAAUUCUUGGUGUAGCGGUGAAAUGCGUAGAUAUCAAGAGGAACACCUGAGGUGAAGACGGGUUGCUGGGCUGACACUGACGCUGAGGCGCGAAAGCCAGGGAGCAAACGGG